GCUGCAUGUACCGUGACAAACAUGAGGAACUAUGGGAGUGCCAGGCAUGAUGAGUGAAAUACAGAAGCAGCAGUGAACCACAUAAUGUAAUUGGAGCCUGCAAGCACCAAGAGAGGACACCUGGCAAGGGAAGAGAAGAAGUCAAAAGCCUGGGAGCUCAGAGGUGCUCUUCACAAGAGCAGUGAACAAAGCUGCAACAGGAGAUGGGCCAAGUCAGCAUGAAUGUGAAUGGAAAUUACAUUCAUUUCUGUACAGUGCAGAGAAGUGUUCUCAUGGGCUCCAUCAGCGCCAGCCGUUUGCAGAUGUGCAGC
rnacentral:lncRNA from 12 species